UACUUGACUUACACAUGCAAGUCUCCGCACACCCGUGAGAACGCCCCUACCCCCACUUAGGAAUUAGGAGCUGAUAUCAGGCACAAUAAUUGCCCAAGACAUCUAGCUAUACCACACCCACAAGGGCCUUCAGCAGUGAUUAACAUUAAAAAUAAACGUCAGUUUGACUUAGCCAAUGAAAAUAGAGCCGGCCAAUCUGGUGCCAGCCGCCGCGGUUACACCACGUGGCUCAAAUUGAUUCAACACGGCGUAAAGCGUGAUUAAAGAAACAAGAUAAUGGAGUUAAACUUGAACUAAACUGUAGUACGUUUGUCCAUGAAAAAUCCUCAAUUCGAAAGACACUCCAACUCAACUACUUGAACUCACGAGACCUGAGACACAAACUGGGAUUAGAUACCCCACUAUGCUCAGUCAUAAACCUUAACUUACACCCCCAUCGCCAGGGAACUACGAGCAAAGCUUAAAACCCAAAGGACUUGACGGUACCCCAUAUCCCCCUAGAGGAGCCUGUCCUAUAACCGAUACCCCCCGUUCAACCUCACCACUCUUAGUCUUUCAGCCUGUAUACUUCCGUCGUCAGCUUACCGCGUGAGCGAAUCAAGUUAGCUAAAUGUCACCCGUCAACACGUCAGGUCAAAGUGCAGCAAAUAUAGUGGUAAGAGAUGGGCUACACUUUCUACCUUAGAAGAUACGAAAGACUUCAUGAAACUUUAGAUCAGAAGGUGGAUUUAGCAGUAAGAAAAAAUAGUAUAUUUCUCUUAACUCGGCACUGGGGUGUGUACACACCGCCCGUCACCCUCUUCAAUAAAAACACACAGUACUUAACACAUUUACUACAAUAGAAGAGGUAAGUCGUAACAUGGUAAGUAUACCGGAAGGUGUGCUUGGAAA
rnacentral:ncRNA from 1 species